GGCCCCGUGGCGGAAUGGUAGACGCAGGAGAUUUAAAAUCCCCUGUCCGGAAGGACGUCUGGGUUCGAGUCCCAGCGGGGCCA
rnacentral:tRNA from 1 species